AGGACGAACGCUGGCGGCGUGCUUAACACAUGCAAGUCGAGCGGAAAGGCCCUUCGGGGUACUCGAGCGGCGAACGGGUGAGUAACACGUGAGUAAUCUGCCCCUAGCUCUGGGAUAGCUCCGGGAAACCGGGAUUAAUACCAGAUACGACCACUUUAGACAUCUGUUGUGGUGGAAAAGAAUUUUAGGCUAGGGAUGAGCUCGCGGCCUAUCAGCUUGUGGUGAGGUAACGGCUCGACCAAGGCGACGACGGGUA
rnacentral:rRNA from 1 species